rnacentral:rRNA from 1 species
UACGUAGGCAGCGAGCGUUGUUCGGAGUUACUGGGCGUAAAGGGUGUGUAGGCGGUUAUUUAAGUUUGGUGUGAAAUCUCCCGGCUCAACCGGGAGGGUGCGCCGAAUACUGGAUGGCUUGAGUUCGGGAGAGGGAUGCGGAAUUCCAGGUGUAGCGGUGAAAUGCGUAGAUAUCUGGAGGAACACCGGUGGCGAAGGCGGCAUCCUGGACCGACACUGACGCUGAGGAGCGAAAGCCAGGGGAGCAAACGGG